AUACGGAGGGUGCGAGCGUUAAUCGGAAUUACUGGGCGUCAAGGGUGCGUAGGCGGCUUGAUAAGUCGGAUGUGAAAGCCCCGGGCUUAACCUGGGAAUUGCAUUCGAUACUGUCAGGCUAGAGUAUGUCAGAGGUUGGCGGAAUUCCUGGUGUAGCGGUGAAAUGCGUAGAUAUCAGGAGGAAGACCAGUGGCGAAGGCGGCUAACUGGGGCAAUACUGACGCUGAGGCACGAAAGCGUGGGGAGCAAACAGGAUUAGAAACCCCAGUAGUCC
rnacentral:rRNA from 1 species